rnacentral:rRNA from 1 species
CCUACGGGAGGCAGCAGUGGGGGAUAUUGCACAAUGGGGGAAACCCUGAUGCAGCGACGCCGCGUGGGUGAAGAAGCGCCUCGGCGCGUAAAGCCCUGUCAGCAGGGAAGAAAAUGACGGUACCUGAAGAAGAAGCCCCGGCUAACUACGUGCCAGCAGCCGCGGGAAUACGUAGGGGGCCAGCGUUAUCCGGAUGUACUGGGGUUAAAGGGGGCGCAGACGGCGAUGCAAGCCAGGAGUGAAAGCCCGGGGCCCAACCCCGGGACUGCUCUUGGAACUGCGUGGCUAGAGUGCAGGAGGGGCAGGCGGAAUUCCUGGUGUAGCGGUGAAAUGCGUAGAUAUCAGGAGGAACACCGGUGGCGAAGGCGGCCUGCUGGACUGCAACUGACGUUGAGGCCCGAAAGCGUGGGGAGCAAACAGGAUUAGAUACCCGUGUAGUG